rnacentral:rRNA from 1 species
AUGGCGACCGACCGCAGGGCGCAGGCACAGGGCUCGGCUCGACGGCAGUGCUUGGCGCCAGGGAGUGGAGCUUCCUCUGCUCGAGACGCCAUGGAUCUUAUGCUCGUCAAGGUCCUUCUUCCUCCAGCACGAGGAAAAGCAGAAGCAGCCGCCACAUCAAGAAACUGUGAGGAUGACAAGGAGAAGACCUCCAAGCUUUGUUUUGUUCUUCUUCUUCAUGUGCUACUUGCAACAUCAAGGGGAUUUUCGACCGCUACCAGUAGGCCACCGGGACCAGCCUGUGGACCGAGCAAAUAUGCAGCGCACCCUGAGCCGGCUCAAGAGCAUCAACCGGAACCUGCGCACCGAGAUCAGUUCUGCUACUAGUUGUUGUGUACUCCUAGUGUUGUAGUUGUUGUGUAGUAAUACAGAAAUAUUAAUGCUCAAAUAUGAUGAUGUGGCCUGCAGCGCACUUGCUUCGACGUCGACCCGUGCGUCGUCAUCGCCUUCGAGGACAACGAGGACAUGGCAGGCGCCGUCGGCCUCAGCGACGGCUUCCACCACUACCACAUCGUCGUCACCUACCAGUUCCACAAGGGCGUCUGGGCCGUCGAGUCCUUCUGCAGCUGUUGCCGCUGUUCCUUCCACAGUUUGGGUGGGACUUGUCGGAUCGGCCUCCUCGUUUCCUAUUUCAGGGACAGUCGGAUUAUUCCUGGAGCUGCCGCAACAGAAGUAGAACUGGCAAAGAGAUUGAAGGAGUUUUCUCUGAAGGAAACAGGGUUGGAUCAGUAUGCCAUUUCAAAAUUUGGUGAAAGUUUUGAAAUGGUUCCAAGAACACUGUCUGAAAAUGCGGGACUUAGUGCAGUGGAGAUAAUAUCUUCCCUCUACGCUCAGCAUUCUGUUGGCAAUAUGAAAGUUGGCAAACCUUAUGCCCGUCAACCAGCAAGAGGAAAAGAUCCGAACCAAAAUGAACAAGAGGCAGAUGCUCUGAAGAAGAAGAGAGGUGGCAGGCAACCUCUCAAAAAUACAGUUGAACUUGUCUCUCAUGAUGAGUAUAACACAGUUCCAAGAGAAGAUUCAACUCAGAGGAAAGGACGUGUACAAAAGAUUCGGCGUCACUUGGUAAGGAAGUGGUUUAACUACAAGAUGGUUCAUCCUUGGUACGCCAAGUACUUUGCUUUCCGUCCCCCAUGGGGUGACUGUCGCGAGAUUGGGCUCAUACGAGCAGGUGAACCCCAACAAAGGCCUCCACCACCUCCUGACGCUCAUGAAUCGUCCACCAUGACUCUUGACUCUUAUCUUGAAGAAAAGGCCAAACGCCUCAAAAAUGCUGAAAAGCGAGCCAAGAAGGCCGCAAAAGAUCUGGCCAAGGAAGAAAAAAAUCGUCGUCUCAUCAAAUCAGACGUCGAGAAGAAAAAGGCUGAAGGAAAAGUAGAACGCCGAAUGAAGAUCAAACAUGAUCCAAAAUCUGCUGCUCUGAGGAAAAAGAGUGCACCGAGAAAAAGGCCUGCUAAGCCGACUGAACCUGAAAGUGACUCUUCUGAUCAAGGUGAUCCUCCGCUCACCCGAGAAGAAACUGAUGCAACUCUCUCCGAACAGGUGAAUGUCACCACAUCCACUGUUCUGCCUGACCUCCAAGCAUGUGCAGUCCCAGUUGCACCUCUGAAGAAGAACCCGUUGAAGAGAAAGACCCCUGCAACCACUGUCACAAUGGUUGACAAAGUGAACAUAGAACCUCAUCCUGAUGCAAUUAACUUGCAAGAUUUGGUGGUCGGAGCCCCUAAUGGCAUAGCUAAGCCUGGAGAAAAGAUUCCAAAACCGAAGGUGAAGCAAAUCAAAGCCCAUGCUGCUAAGCAAAAGGGUCCAAGUGUUGAUGUUGUGAAUGAAAGGGCUGCCAAAUUUGCAUCGAAACUAACUCAACCAUUGGCUUCUAUGCCUCCAGCCAAAGUAAAUAUGGCACAGACUGCUCCCUCUACUCAGGCUGCUACACAAACUGAAAAUGACUCUAAUGCACCACAUUCUUUUGAUCAUCCGUUCAUCAUGGAGCAGCUGGACAGAUUUGUCAAAGAUUUGUUUGAUGGAGAAGUGGCAUCUUUGCCCAUUCCCUCUGAAGUUAUCUCUCAAGCGUGCCAAGAUAUGAGAAAUGAUUCAGUUGAUAUCAAUGACCUCACUGCACAACUCAAGGAGCUCGACAACCAUAUGAAAGAUACGAAAUCCAAGUUUGUCAUCAAGCAGCUUGAAGAAUCUUAUGAGGAUGUGAACAAGGCUCUGACAAUUCUUCGGGACAGGAGGCUGGGAUUUCAUUCGGAUCUAGAUCAAAUCGUUUGCAAGAUUUGCCUUGAUCACCAAGCCAAAGUGACUGGUUAUAAUGAUCUGGUCAAAGGGAACAUUGAUCCAUUGAAGCAAAAGAAGAAGAAGAAGAUUGCGAAGAAAAAUGCUCCUCCUCCUCCAAAUGCUAAUACACAGAGAGAAAUGUCUCCUGUACAAGCAAGUCCUUCGGCUACUCAUGAACCAGUUGCAGACGCAUCAAAUUCGCGAAGGCCUAUUGAAGCAGUGCCUGUGGCUUCUCCAGCUCAUGUAGCAAAUCCUUCUCAGCACCAAGUGUCGAAGAAGGUGAAAUUCCUCGGUCUGAAUGACAAGCUUCUCCUGACCGUGUUGAACCAAAUGAUUUGGUUCCACCCUCUACUCCUCCAACUACAUCUGAAGCAAUUCCACAACGGCUGCCAAUGA